rnacentral:lncRNA from 1 species
AAAAAGGGCAAAAGAGGGAAUUUGAUAAAUUAAAUUGCUAACUUCAGCAUUUUUGGUUAGUCAAUACACUUUCAACUAACAGAAGUAGGGCUGAGCCUUAAAGUAAACUUGAAGGGAGUGAAGUACAAUUUCAUAAAAAGUAGGGGAAGUUUCGGGAGUUGUUAGAAACCUCAGGGAAGGAAAGUAUAAUUUACCCUAAACUCUAUCUCAGAUUCUCAAUGUUUCAAAUUCCAAUAACCUCUCUGGAAUUUUGGAUCUCGGCCAAAGUUCCUUGCGGGCUAUUGGAGCCGAAGAAUAUCCGAAUUCGAAUUGCUCACCAUGUUUAGGGUCAUAGGCGAAGGUCGUGUUUGGUUCUACAGUUUCGGUUUGAGAAGAUUAUCAAUCCAUCUACUGUUGCUCUCCUUUCGUUUUUUCUUCAUCGUUCAUUCUCUGGUCCUCAACGCAAUCCCUACUAUAAUCUGCGCAUCAAAUUGGUCAAUUCUUCCCUCAACUCCGUAUAUUCCACCAUUUCAUCUCUAUACAUACCUACACACAUUCAGACACAGAUAUGUAUAUGUAUCUUCUUGUUCACAGAUGUUAUAUUUGAUCCCAUUAAUCCCUGUAUGUCAUGCAAUCAGAUUUGCCGUGUAAUUGUAUGUUUCCGGAAUCGAAAUUGGGAUUUAGGCAAAUGCUUUAAUUUGGAAAACAAAUAGUAAUUGUUUCGUGUUGACACGAUGCGCUUUUUAAUUUUGUGGGAUCAGAACUUGCAAUACAUUUGAUAUUUACUGUAUCAUCAUGGACCAUGAAACAUGUGAUUUGCUAACAUGAAUGAAAGUGUUUUCUUGAUCGAAAACAGGAAAUGGAAGUUGUUGUGCAACAAGGUUUACUUUCUAUAUAUUUCGUCAAGUUUCUGUAAUCGGGUUAUGGAUGCUAGCUGCGUAGCAUGAUGUAGUAAAGUUCCGUACAUUAAUAAGGGAUAUUAGAUCGAAGGAGGAAGAGCAUUUUGAGCCUGAAAAAAAAGUUGCAAUAGAGCACCGUAAAACCCUAAACCCCUAGUGGUGCUUUUUGCUGAAUGGCACUCUCUGACCAAGUCAGACAAUAUUUGGAGAAUAUAGUAAAUAUUACUCUGGUCUGUUUGCAAAUCCCAAACUCAUUAUGGAAUGAAACUUGCUUGAGAAGUUUUCCCUCUCAAUUUUUGUUUGUUUGGGAAACUUCCAUGUGUGAUGUGAAUCUCACCCUCAAGUGAGGUGCUUCCUACCAUAAUGCAGUGUUAGGUUCCCCUCACCACUUUCUUCAUAUAGUGCUUCAUCAUUACGAACUUAAACCAAUGCAAGUCACCCCAAUUCUUUAUGAAAGACACAUGCUGCUGGUGAUUGAGUUUAGUGCCGAGCUUGCGUCUUGGAGCCUUUGUCGAUGUUAUUUAUUGUCCCGACAAACAAAGGCCAAUCUAAUUACUAUAUGUCAAUUCCAAAAGUCUGGUGUCGCUUGGUGCAAACUUUUCUAAGGGCCAUAUGGUAUACCUCGCAAAUUGAGGGUAAAGUUGGAGUUUAACCGUAUUGCCUUGUACAGGGAAAAGGAUUUUCUUGCCCUAGAUACUAGGUAAUGCAAGUUAUUUCUCGUCUGUAGUUUCUUGCCUAACCAACAUUGCUUCUUCUUAAACUCUAACUCUUUCUUGUUUUUAUUGCAGGUCACCAAAAGGGGUAGGCAAAGGUUCAUCU